AUCAGGAACUAAUACUACUGCUAUGGUUUGGAUUUUAAAUGUUCUCAAAGACUCAUGUAUUAAACCCUUGGUCCCCAGUGCAGAAAUGUUCAAAGAAAUAUCAUGUGUGAGGGGCUACAGAUCUCUUAGGACUUGUAUUUCAUCAAGAACACACUGAGGAAUGCCAGUUUUGAGGGAUCAGGAGCUUAUCCUCUUUGGCAAUGAAAGAGAUAUCUCUACAGAUAGAGAAGUGGAGGAAGGCCCCUUCCUCCAAGGAGACCUUGUGUAGAGUAGAUAAGUCAUGCUUCUAAG
rnacentral:lncRNA from 1 species